ensembl:lncRNA
AUUUCCUUUAGACAAGAGAAGGUGGCGGCGAUAAGACGUGAGGUGUCCAACUAAUGCAGAGUAUUCAAGUUGCCAACACACUGGUUGUGAAGUACCCUUUCAAGAGAAAUAUAAAAGGAAAUGACUGAAACUUGUGUUGGGGAGGAUUCAGUGUCUGUUGAGGUCCAUGUGAAUGUGCUACAAAGUGAGUAUCAGAAAACACAUCCAGACACCUGGACUGUCAAAGACCACACGGCACGAACAUUCUCCUGGAGACGCUGAGAAAGCACGGAAGGAAUGUCUGUGGAGGAUGUACUUAAAAACACCCAUACUUAAGAACACCUGCUGGAGUGAGUAUAGUAAAAUCAUCAACUGUAAAAUAUCUUGUUUCAAAUCUUUUCAUGCAAUAUUUUAUUCUUCUGUACCCUUUUAGCCCAUCUGUUAAAAAUUUGAAACAAUAGUUUUAGAAAACAAUGUAAGAUUUAUCAGUGUAUACAAGAACAUGAAAUGCAUUGUAUAUUGUGACCCUUAUACAGUACAUUAGCUUCUGAUUGUUUUUACAGUUCUGCACUGUAUGUAGCUACACUGUCUGAGCCAAAGAGGAUGGAACAGAAUUUGAUGAAUUUGAAAAGUGUCUUCUUUUUUUUUUUAAUUAUUAUUAUUUAUUAUUUAAUUUUAUGAUGAAGGGGGACCCUGCUACACUCUUUCCUACCAUACACCUGAUGGAUUCUGACUGGAAAAUGGUAAUCAUAGGAGGGUUCAGUGUGGUGACAGAAGAUGGAAUAGACGUGUGUCAGUGCACCAGCCUUGAUGAAGCCUUCAUAACAGCCUUCUGGAUGUAUUUUGCUUUCAACAUUACAUAUCCACCACACCUGAGAAAGACACUGACUUUCCUUCAGAGGCACAGUCAACAUUGUGGAAGAUGGAGACAAGCACUGCCAGUAACUUUCCUCUGAGUGAUCAGCCUUUUGUAUUAGAUCCUCAUGCCUCAACUGUACCAUUACACAAAGUGCACUCGAAGGACAUUCACUCUUUUGAAGUUAAUCGAACAUGUUGGAGUUGUACAUACACAUGAACCAAAUUUUAGUAUAACCUGUGGUAUAGAUGAGUGCCAAUCAACUUUUUUGUGAUUCCAUUCUUUUAGAAAACAUGCACAGGAAUCAUAUGUACUUUUGGUAAUAAAAAUGACUCUCAGUGAAGAGUCUGCAGUACAAUUAUAUUAUAAUAUAAUGGAGAAGGGUCUGGCUGCAGACUUGCACUUGCACUCUCAGACACUUGCGCUUCUGCUAGUGACAACACUUGCAGUCUUUUUUUUAUUUGUAUUUAGUUAUAUCUAUCUAUUUUUUUUUUUUU